ACUCAGCAAAUCUGCAACUCCUAGCCCGUAUAGAUUAAACAUCAGAAAAAAGCCAAAAUCGCGUUGGAAAAAUAUACCUGAAGAUUUGAAGGGCUAAGGUGCAACGUGUAGGCUCUGACAGCACCCAGAGGCACCUGCUGAAGUCUCCACUUACUCUCCUGGCCACACGGGUCGGCCGGAGCUGGCCCGGGUAAAUGAAACCUUACUUGGAGCCUUUUACCAUCUACACCUGCAGAACUGUAGUAAAUGCAAGUGAGGGUGGCUCUUGCCUGUUAGCCUAGGGUAAAACCUACUUAACAAAACGCCAAGAAGAGAGCUGACCUCAAGGAAAUAUGUUCAUUUUCCCAGAAGUGGAAGCAGUUUACUCCAGGCAGUCAGUGGCUGACGUGAACCUCUUCUGUACAGAAGCCAUCUAUGAUCUGUUCUAAAGCUUCACUCAGGCCAGGCUGCUUGCUAGAAACACGACUGCUCAGCACGUGAAGAAAGCAGUCGGACAUCUGAAGGGCUCGCGCGUGUAAUAAUGCCAACACAUCUUACAACCCUCUGAAACACGUCCUAAGGCCAGACUGUUACACUCUUGAGUUAAUCAGUAUGUCUACCGAGAAACCACCUCAGAAAGGGCAGAAAGUAAGUAACUCUGAAGCUAGCUGUCAAGUAUAAUUCAAAUGCGGUACUGCAGUCUACACGGACGCUCCAUCCUCCCUCCAGGAAGGAAGCUUAACUCUCCACCCCUUGAGAGACUUGCAUCCAAAGGACAGAAGCUCCGGUCAGGGCAUGUUCUGAAAGAGACGUGACAAGUGCUAACUCAGCCAGCAGUCAUGGUCUGCACCAACAAUGUGAAGCCGGAAGUGGUUUCUUUAUAUCUGUGAUCUCAGGAGCACCCAUAACCACGGCCCAUCGAGGAGGAAAAACAUCAGAGAAAUGCCAAAGGAUGGAUAUCUACCACUAAUCCUCAGGUUGUCAAAGAAAACGCAGGUCGGAAGAGUCAGCCGUCUGAGAAGAUAAGGCACUGACUGAAGGGUCCGGAGUACAAGGAUAAACCGAAUGCACUUCGCCAAACUGUUGCAGAGUUAUCUGAAAUAAGACUGAACAAAGCCCAGAGACGGGGCAACAGCUCACUUCACCGUUUCUCUGUGCCGUUCAGCUGCACUCUGAGGUGUUCAUUCUUCUGCAUCAGCACACUGCACGCCCACACUACAGCAGGAACCCUGCAAGCACGGUUGGUCCUGUGCUUCAGCCUCCCUGUACCAUGCAAUGAUCUCGGUUCCUAGCACACAGGUAUGUUUCACAAGCGCUUAGCAUGUGGCAGGGGUUAGGGGGCCUCAGGUGUACAAAUGUGUACGUCCUAGAACUCUGUCAUUGAGACUUAAAGCUGCCGCCUGACCAGAUGUAUCAAGCAGCUUCAGACUCUUUCAUGAAACCUUUUCAAUAUCCUGCCCUAUUUAUUUUGUUUAUAUUUUGGAAAUAAAACUUUGUGACAAUU
ensembl:antisense 4921511C10Rik RIKEN cDNA 4921511C10 gene